AACGAACGCUGGCGGCAUGCCUAACACAUGCAAGUCGAACGAAGUCUUCGGACUUAGUGGCGCACGGGUGCGUAACGCGUGGGAAUCUGCCCUUGGGUACGGAAUAACUCAGAGAAAUUUGUGCUAAUACCGUAUAAUGUCUUCGGACCAAAGAUUUAUCGCCCAAGGAUGAGCCCGCGUAAGAUUAGCUAGUUGGUGGGGUAAAAGCCUACCAAGGCGACGAUCUUUAGCUGGUCUGAGAGGAUGAUCAGCCACACUGGGACUGAGACACGGCCCAGACUCCUACGGGAGGCAGCAGUGGGGAAUAUUGGACAAUGGGCGAAAGCCUGAUCCAGCAAUGCCGCGUGAGUGAUGAAGGCCCUAGGGUUGAAAGCUCUUUUACCAGGGAUGAUAAUGACAGUACCUGGAGAAUAAGCUCCGGCUAACUCCGUG
rnacentral:rRNA from 1 species